rnacentral:rRNA from 1 species
CCAAUAGCGUAUAUUAAAGUUGUUGCAGUUAAAAAGCUCGUAGUUGAAUUUCGGGAUCAGUAUGUUGGUCGUGCUUCGGUACGUACUGUCAUUACUGGUUUCUACUUUCUGAAGAACCUUGAUGUCAUUAAUUUGGUGUCUUGGGGAAUCAGGACUGUUACUUUGAAAAAAUUAGAGUGUUUAAAGCAAGCAUACGCUUGAAUACAUUAGCAUGGAAUAAUGAAAUAGGACGUUUGAUUCUAUUUUGUUGGUUUCUAGGAUCGACGUAAUGAUUAAUAGGGAUAGUUGGGGGCAUUAGUAUUCAAUUGUCAGAGGUGAAAUUCUUGGAUUUAUUGAAGACUAACUACUGCGAAAGCAUUUGCCAAGGAUGUUUUCAUUAAUCAAGAACGAAAGUUAGGGGAUCGAAGACGAUCAGAUACCGUCGUAGUCUUAACCAUAAACUAUGCCGACUAGGGAUCGGAUGAUGUUAUUUUUAAUGACUCAUUCGGCGCCUUAC